rnacentral:rRNA from 1 species
AACGAACGCUGGCGGCAGGCUUAACACAUGCAAGUCGAGCGGGUGGUCUUCGGGCCAUCAGCGGCGGACGGGUUAGUAACGCGUGGGAACGUGCCCUUUGCUCUGGAAUAGCCCUGGGAAACUGGGGGUAAUACCGGAUGUGCCCUGAGGGGAAAGAUUUAUCGGGCAAGGGAUCGGCCCGCGUCUGAUUAGGUAGUUGGUGUGGUAACGGCGCACCAAGCCGACGAUCGGUAGCUGGUUUGAGAGGAUGAUCAGCAACACUGGGACUGAGACACGGCCCAGACUCCUACGGGAGGCAGCAGUGGGGGAAUCUUGGACAAUGGGGGGCAACCCUGAUCCAGCCAUGCCGCGUGGGUGAUGAA